CAUUACCGAGUUUACAACUUAAACCCAAGUGAACGACCAAACUGUUGCCU
rnacentral:rRNA from 1 species